AGUCCUCGAAAACCCGUUGUUCCAUUCAUUUUAUGUUCAUCCUUAUUACUACCUUUUUUUCGUCUAAUUUCCUUCACUCCUCUUAAAAAAAAAACAAAAAAACAAACCCUAGCUAUAGAUAAAUCCUAAACACGGUAGUACUAUCAAUAUUGCAAUAUUAACAUUCCACAAAGAGCAAUUUUUUCAACUUCAAUUAGGUUUUCUUUUAUUGUUUUUGUCUUUUGAAAUUUGGGUUUUGGACAAAGAGGUUUCAUUGUGCCUAUGGGAUUUGUAGCGUAUCUUGUCAGUGUUCCUCGGGAUCAGCAUCAUCAGAAAUCAGCUGAGCAGUUGUAAUACUACUGCAGCACUAGCAGCACCAAAAAGACUAUGCAGAGAGAUUUAUAUUUAUGAUGAAGAGAGCAACGGGAGGAGGAGAGAUAGUGCAAGUUGAAGGCGGUCAUAUUCUCCGGUCCACUGGCCGAAAAGACCGCCACAGCAAAGUUUAUACUGCAAAAGGCCCGAGGGAUCGAAGGGUCCGUUUAUCUGCUCACACUGCUAUUCAAUUUUACGACGUGCAGGACAGGUUGGGUUAUGACCGGCCUAGUAAGGCGGUUGAUUGGCUCAUCAAAAAGGCGAAAGAUGCUAUUGACAAGUUAGAUGAGUUGCCUCCUUGGAACCCCACUAAUCAUGAUCCAAGUACUACUGAAGCUGAUACUGCGGCGUUAGAACAACAGCCGGAGUAUCAGCUUCAGAGGGAAUUAGAAAAGAGUAACCCGAGUCAGGUUAAUUCUUCUAAUUCGUACAUGAUGCAAGCGCCUACAAGUGGUGAAGCACAACAAUCACUUGGGGAUACUAUGAAAUCUUUUUUCCCUAUGAAUUCGGGGACUUCAUUAAUGAAUUUCCAAAACUACCCACAUGAGAUAAUGCCAAGAUCUUCGAUACAAAACGAAGAUCUUGGCUUAUCUCUUCACACUACUUUUCAUAAGGCUUCUUCAAGUCAUGAUGACCAAUCUGCCCUUUUCUCAAAUCAAAAUUUUGAAGCAAAUUAUCCAAGAAUAGCUGGUUGGAAUAUAUUGCCACAUCAUCAGCAGCAAGCAUUUUUCACUCAAAGUAGUGCUGCAUUUCCUCAAAGGGAACCCCUUCAGUCCAAUUUUUCACACUUGAUUAAUCAUCAUGCUAGUUGGGAAGAGAGGCCAUUAAUGAAUGGACUAGUUCAUCAGGCUGAACUUUCAAAUAAUAGCAGACAUUUCACUACACAUUUUCAAGUUCCAGCUAGGAUCCAUGGUGAACAUCAUGAGGACCCUUCCUCUGCUUCUCCCAACUCUCACCAUUGAUUAAUGGUUUAUUAAAAGGUACUGGAUUCAAAUAUACUCCCGGCCACCUAAAUAGUUGCAUCUGCCCUUGCUGAUACCAUGUUAAAGUCAAUUGAGUAAGUAGUCAUCUCCGAAGAUCAAAAGUGCAUUAUUUGAUAGAACGCUGGAACAUGGUCAGAGUAAUUUCAAAAAUGUAACUGUAUUUCUUAUCUUAAAUUUUGUGGAAUUUGUCUAUUAAGUUACGGUGCUGAAGCGUUGUUUGGAUUGCAUAUGUUCCACAUAUUUUGUUUGAAUUGGUUGAGUGAUAUUAUUGGAUACUUAAAAUUCUGCUAGUUGACUCAGUUCUUGAGCUCCAACUAGAUUAAUA